CUAUCACUCUUUUGAAGCCAUUUGGAUCCGUUAAGUGGCAGAGGCAGACCAUUCAAAUUGGUCUCACCUCCCUGCAGAUGGGAAGGGUUGUGGAGAAGUCUAGUUGUACCAGGAAGUGAUCUGACCAUUGGCACUUGUUUUGUUUGACUGGAACUAUCCCUUAUUUGCCAGUCCCUCUUCACAUUUUCUGAAGUUCUUGGUCUCUUCAGUGUCUGAAGCUGUCCAUUUCCUCAUCUUUGUUCAGCUUCCUCCUCAGAUUCAGAAGAAACAACAGCAAUUAGCUGGCAGUCAGAACCUGAUCUCUUUCUAAUAACUACCACACAAGAACAAACAACCAAACAAUCCUCCCCAGAUUCCUCCGUGGAUUCAGAAGAAACAACAGCAAUUAGCAGUCAGUCAGAACCUGAUCUCUUUCUAAUAACUACCACACAAGAACAAACAAACAACCAAUCAGGCUUCAGCCCUAUUCCAACAGAAUACCUGAUUUAUGGGCUUUUCGCCUUGAAAACCCUUAUCUUCCUGGGUCUGGUCAUUGCAAUUAUCUGGAUGCAUAGAAGAUACAAUCAGAAGAGACCUUCAGCUGCCACACGGCAAGAAAAUGCUGCACAGUAAUCCCACAGUGACCAAUGUAACUGUUGUUAAGCUUCUUUACAUAAUAUAUUGUUUUAGCUAAUGCUGUUAUAACUCCAGUAUUCAAACUAUUUGUGUCUUAAUAGGCUUGAUCUUCCCUAAAAAAGAGCAAUAAAAGGUAUGCCACAG